GGAAAUGAUUUGAGCGGGGGUCAAGAGCAAUAACGAAAAAUGUUUGUCAUAAACCGUUUUUCAUUAUUGCUCCUGACCUCCUCUCAUUUGCUAUAUUCAAUUAAGUAAGU
rnacentral:pre_miRNA from 2 species